rnacentral:rRNA from 1 species
CCGGCCGGUGUUGGGGUACGUCCGGAACGGGCGCUAAUACCGCAUACGUCCUGAGGGAGAAAGUGGGGGAUCUUCCGGACACUACGCUAUCAGAUGAGCCUAGGUCGGAUUAGCUAGUUGGUCGGGGUAAAGGCCUACCAAGGCGACGAUCCGUAACUGGUCUGAGAGGAUGAUCAGUCACACUGGAACUGAGACACGGUCCAGACUCCUACGGGAGGCAGCAGUGGGGAAUAUUGGACAAUGGGCGAAAGCCUGAUCCAGCCAUGCCGCGUGUGUGAAGAAGGUCUUCGGAUUGUAAAGCACUUUAAGUUGGGAGGAAGGGCAGUAAGUUAAUACCUUGCUGUUUUGACGUUACCAACAGAAUAAGCACCGGCUAACUUCGUGCCAGCAGCCGCGGUAAUACGAAGGGUGCAAGCGUUAAUCGGAAUUACUGGGCGUAAAGCGCGCGUAGGUGGUUCAGCAAGUUGGAUGUGAAAUCCCCGGGCUCAACCUGGGAACUGCAUCCAAAACUACUGAGCUAGAGUACGGUAGAGGGUGGUGGAAUUUCCUGUGUAGCGGUGAAAUGCGUAGAUAUAGGAAGGAACACCAGUGA